AACCAUUCUCACCUGCGGCUAGACCUGCGGAGGGAUCAUUAACCUUUCAAAUCAGGGUGCGGCGCGGCCCCCGAGGAGCGGAAACAAUCCUUGGGAGGUAUGCGGGGGCUUCGAGCCCCCCAUUUACGCACGCACGACUGCCAUCCUUACUUUACGAGCACCUUCUGUUCUCCCUCGGCGGGGCAACCUGCCGUUGGAACCGAAUAAACUCUUUUUGCAUCUAGCAUUACCUGUUCCGAA
rnacentral:misc_RNA from 1 species